UACGUAGGUGGCAAGCGUUGUCCGGAUUUACUGGGCGUAAAGAGCGCGCAGGCGGUCGAUUCAGUCGAGUGUGAAAGCCCCCGGCUCAACUGGGGAGGGUCACUUGAUACUGGUCGACUCGAAGGCAGGAGAGGGAAGUGGAAUUCCCGGUGUAGUGGUGAAAUGCGUAGAUAUCGGGAGGAACACCAGUGGCGAAGGCGACUUCCUGGCCUGUUCUUGACGCUGAGGCGCGAAAGCUAGGGGAGCAAACGGG
rnacentral:rRNA from 1 species